AAUAACGGGUUCAUCACGCGUGGUAUCCGGGCGGUAAUGGUAAACCGUUCUGCUCAGGUUAAGACUCCGGCAGGCCUGACGGAUACUGAGUCCGGUUUUCCAGACUCAGGUCAGCAAACAUC
rnacentral:sRNA from 1 species